rnacentral:lncRNA from 1 species
AGCGGCUCUUGGGAGGCUGCGUCCGCGCGCCGGCGAGGCGAGGCGGCCGGGCCCUGCGCGUCAGGCCUGAGACCUGGGAGGAAGCUGGAGAAAAGAUGCCCUCUGAAUCUUUCUGUUUGGCUGCCCAGGCUCGCCUCGACUCCAAAUGGUUGAAAACAGAUAUACAGAACUGUUUCAUCACCAGAAAGAUCUCUCUCCUGCCUCUCUUCUGCCACCAUCUCUAACUCCUGCCAACCACUGAUCUGUUCUUCAUCUCUAUAAUUUUGUUACUGUGAGAUUACCAAGUGAUAUGUGACCUUCGGAAAUGAUUUUCUUUACUCAGCAUAAUGCCCUCAGGUCCGUCAAGGUUUGUUGAGUAUAUCAGUAGCUAAACUGGGACCAUUUAUUUGUCUCUUCAUCUAAUCAUCAAUUAAAAAUGACCACGCAUAAAUGUAA